AUACGUAGGGUGCGAGCGUUAAUCGGAAUUACUGGGCGUAAAGCGUGCGCAGGCGGUUUUGUAAGUCAGAUGUGAAAUCCCCGGGCUUAACCUGGGAACUGCGUUUGAAACUGCAAGGCUAGAGUGUGGCAGAGGGGGGUGGAAUUCCGCGUGUAGCAGUGAAAUGCGUAGAGAUGUGGAGGAACACCGAUGGCGAAGGCAGCCCCCUGGGUUAACACUGACGCUCAGGCACGAAAGCAUGGGGAGCAAACAGGAUUAGAAACCCCGGUAGUCC
rnacentral:rRNA from 1 species